AACGAACGCUGGCGGCAUGCCUAACACAUGCAAGUCGAACGAGACCUCCGGGACUAGUGGCGCACGGGUGCGUAACGCGUGGGAACCUGCCCUUAGGCUCGGAAUAACUCUCCGACAGGGGUGCUAAUACCGGAUAACGUCUUCGAAUCAAAGAUAUAUCGCGCUUGUGUGGGCCGGCGUUGGAUUAGCUUGUGGGGAGUGUAAAAGCCUAUCACGGAGACGCUACAUAGCUGGUCUGAGAGGAUGAUCAGCGACACUUGGGCUGGGACACGGCCCAGACUCCUACGGGAGGGGGCAGUGGGGGAUAUUGGACAACGGGGGAAAGCAUGAACCAGCAAUGCUGCGUGAGUGAUGAAGUCCUUAGGGUAGUAAAGCUCGUUUACCCGGGAUGAUAAUGACGGUACCGGGAGAAUAAGCACCGGCUAACUCCGUG
rnacentral:rRNA from 1 species